UGGGGAAUAUUGCACAAUGGAGGGAACUCUGAUGCAGCGACGCCGCGUGAACGAAGAAGGCUUUCGAGUCGUAAAGUUCUUUUAUAUGGGAAGAUAAUGACGGUACCAUAAGAUAAAGCCCCGGCUAACUACGUGCCAGCAGCCGCGGUAAUACGUAGGGGGCUAGCGUUGUCCGGAAUCACUGGGCGUAAAGGGUUCGCAGGCGGAAAUGCAAGUCAGGUGUAAAAGGCAGUAGCUUAACUACUGUAAGCAUUUGAAACUGCAUAUCUUGAGAAGAGUAGAGGUAAGUGGAAUUUUUAGUGUAGCGGUGAAAUGCGUAGAUAUUAAAAAGAAUACCGGUGGCGAAGGCGGCUUACUGGGCUCAUUCUGACGCUGAGGAACGAAAGCGUGGGUAGCAAACAGG
rnacentral:rRNA from 1 species